AGUAGAACAUGGGAUUUAAAAGCCCUCUCUCCCUUCUCCCUUGAUCACUCACAGCGCCCCGCUCGAAGUCGUUGUAGAAGGGCUUGUCAAGCAGGUGCCUUUCGCUUGUGCCUUCUGAGCCCACCAGGCUGAGGUAGAUGUAGUCAUCCGUGCCUGCAAACCACUGACCACCCGUCGCUACGGUCACCGAAUAAGAUGGCAUGCCCGUCGCCCAGAGGAGACUCGCCGGCGCUGUUCUGCUCUGCCCACCCGUCCACUGCUUUUCAAUGGUCCGGGUAGAAGCGGCCGCCCUCUAUGGAUGGGUGAGGGCGGGGCAGGCCGACACACCCAGCCUCAUUUCAGCCACUCCGCAGAGGGAAAGCCGGGCCCAGGCGCGCAGGGGAGGGCGCGCUUGAAGGAAGACAGAAAGCUCUUGCCGAGUCCGCCGAGGGACUCUUUCUAGGUGCUCCCCAACUGUUGCUCUUCUGACAAAAAGAAUUGCAAUUGUUUUUCCACACUUGGUAGGAUACAGCACUUCCCGCUGGUUUACCAUUCACACGAGUGGACAUGAAAUAUAGCGGGUGGGCAAUUAUAGCUUUCCUUCUCCCCGCCACCUCAGCAAACGCCUCUUCCUAAAGAGGCUUUUUAGUUAAUAUUUCUGAAAGUUUCCUCCCCGCCUCCAUCUUCUCCUGGAUGUUUAAUAGUUCAAGAGGGUGCGGGAGAGAAAGAACCCCCUUUCCUGCUUGGUUUGCCCUCCCCCACAUUUAGAGCUCUUCCAAGGACCCUUCCCCUUCCGCAGUGGUUCAGCCGUAGUUGCACUCCCCUCCCUCUGCGCCAGUUAGCCUGAGCCAUCCUUUUGAGAGUAACGUUGGCUACUAAGGGUCGUGACAGCUACCUGUAGCUGCAAUCCCCAUGGUGAGCUCUCGUUUCUUUCUUCUUUGAAAGAAGAAAUCAGAGCCAGGCUCCCCUUCCCUCUUCGGCCAGGUCAGGAUGGAGGUGGGAGGGAAGCAGCUUUCUCCAGGCAGUGCAAGGAAAAAAGAAACAAGCAGCAACAGAGGUCUGAACCCUGCCAGCAGUAUGUGUAACUAGGACCUGAAGUGGAAAACAGACAAAGAUCCUGGGAAGAAGAGACUGGCAAAGGAGCUUAAUUUUUCAAAGCAGAGACUGUCAAGCAUUCAGGAAGAGACCUGCUCUUCUUCAGUCCUUCUUGAGCAGGGAGAUCCAGAUGGUAGGUUGUCUUAUAGAAUGUGUGCAGCAAUGGAAGUAGUGACAUUGGUGGAGAGAGAGAAAAAAACAAAACAGGCAGCCUCUCCCUAUAAAAUAUGCAGAGAAUGUGGAGCUUGGUAUUGGAUUCAAAAGAAGUUGUAAAACAUAUUUAUCUGAAAUUAAAAUGAAUUAUGUGCUUGUAAUUUUAUUCUAUGACAACUAUUUCAACAUUACACUUAGCAUUUAAUGAAGUCCGCUGAAGCAGAAUUUCAUAUGUAUUUACGAAAUUAAUGGUGUAAUGAUUCAAGAUGUCUGAGAACAAAAAAUCAGCACUGACUGGACAAACAAAAAAUGCAAUAUGUACAUUAAAGACUCAGCAGGAAUUUCAGCAGAAAACAGGAAUUUCUGUUCAAGUAGCAAGAUCCAGACUCUUAAGAAAAUAUUAGUAGUACCAGGAAUGUUCAUUAGAGUCCCUUUACUACGAGGAAUAGGAUAAUAUAGAGGGAGAGAGAUAUGUCUACUGCCUGUAUAAGUGAGUAGGUAAACUGGGCUGAUAACCAUGCCAACUCAGCUGUUAGUGGGAUGGACAAAUUUCAUGUCUAAGUGCAACUGCUACAAAAGAAAAUCCUUAUUUGCCAGCAAGCGUUGACAUUUGGGAAUUAAGAUUUGCUGGAGAAUAGCAGCAAUUCUCACUGUACGGUCAUCCCCAUGAGGAUUCUAAUGUACAUCCCUGUGCUCUUGGCAUCUUGCAACUAUACAUCUGCUGUGUUACUAGCUGUCCCUUUUUGGUGCCUGGAAAUCACUCAGAGCCACCAGAACCUCACGUAGACAAUCAGCAUGAUAAAAAACACAGCAACAGCAGCAAGCUUGGCAUAAGUGGAGCGCAUGUUGAGAUACUUUGCAUCCUGGCGGUAUUUCUUCGAUAAACUGGACAGAUUGUUUGCCUUGGAAUCCAAAGCUGUUUCAAAAGAACAAAAUGAAAACAAUUAAUAAGACACAUUUGUAUUUGUAUGUGUGUAGAUCUGGAUUUAUAUCCCACUACUAUACACUCAUGUUAUGUUUGAAAUAAAAGGCGUAGGCCUCCUGA